rnacentral:rRNA from 1 species
AUUGAACGCUGGCGGCAUGCCUUACACAUGCAAGUCGAACGGCAGCACGGGAGCAAUCCUGGUGGCGAGUGGCGAACGGGUGAGUAAAGUAUCGGAACGUGCCCAGUCGUGGGGGAUAACGUAGCGAAAGUUACGCUAAUACCGCAUACGAUCUAUGGAUGAAAGCGGGGGAUCGCAAGACCUCGCGCGAUUGGAGCGGCCGAUAUCAGAUUAGGUGGUUGGGGGGGUAAAGGCUCACCAAGCCGACGAUCUGUAGCUGGUCUGCGAGGACGACCAGCCACACUGGGACGGGGACACGGCCCAGACUCCUACGGGAGGCAGCAGUGGGGAAUUUUGGACAAUGGGCGAAAGCCUGAUCCAGCCAUGCCGCGUGCAGGAUGAAGGCCUUCGGGUUGUAAACUGCUUUUGUACGGAACGAAAAGGUUUGGCCUAAUAAGCUGAGCUCAUGACGGUACCGUAAGAAUAAGCACCGGCUAACUACGUGCCAGCCGCCGCAGUAA